UACGAAGGGGGCUAGCGUUGCUCGGAAUGACUGGGCGUAAAGGGCGCGUAGGCGGUUCGUACAGUCAGACGUGAAAUUCCCGGGCUCAACCUGGGGGCCGCGUUUGAUACGUGCGGGCUUGAGUUCGGAAGAGGGUCGUGGAAUUCCCAGUGUAGAGGUGAAAUUCGUAGAUAUUGGGAAGAACACCGGUGGCGAAGGCGGCGACCUGGUCCGAUACUGACGCUGAGGCGCGAAAGCGUGGGGAGCAAACAGG
rnacentral:rRNA from 1 species